UGAAGUCGGAAUUGCUAGUAAUGGCAGGUCAGCAUACUGCCGUGAAUACGUUCCCGGGCCUUGUACACACCGCCCGUCACACCAUGAGAGUUGGGAAUACCCGAAGCCUGUGAGCCAACAAACGAGGCAGCAGUCGAAGGUAGAAUCAAUGAUUGGGGUGAAGUCGUAACAAGGUAGC
rnacentral:rRNA from 1 species